rnacentral:rRNA from 1 species
AUGUCGUCCGCCGGCCAGUUCGCCGUGCGGAUCGAGUACGACGCCCCCGCUCACCGUCUCUCGGUCUACGCCGGCGACACCCCAGACCCUCUCGUCCUCGACGCGCCGCUAGACCUCGCCAGCCGCCUCCCGACCAGGGCCGCGCUGGUGGGGUUCUUCGCUGACACGGUCCGGGACGUCGUUGUCGGCGUCCGCGACUGGGAGCUGACGGUAGACAGGCUCCACGACAACGACGACGAGGCGCGGCGGGAAGAAGCGGCGAAGGAGAGCACGUCGGCGUCGUUGCUAGUGAUACUGGUGGCGUCGAUCGGCUCGGUCGCGGCCGUGGCAAUCGUCGUCGUGGCCUCCGUGAUGGUAUGCCUCGUCGUGUCCCGCCGCCGGGCGCUCGACAAGGAGCUGCAGCAAUGCUACAAUGCCUAUCACGCGGGGACUAGGCUCUGA